rnacentral:rRNA from 1 species
UACGUAGGGUGCAAGCGUUAUCCGGAAUUAUUGGGCGUAAAGAGCUCGUAGGCGGUUUGUCGCGUCUGCUGUGAAAACUGGAGGCUCAACCUCCAGCCUGCAGUGGGUACGGGCAGACUAGAGUGCGGUAGGGGAGAUUGGAAUUCCUGGUGUAGCGGUGGAAUGCGCAGAUAUCAGGAAGAACACCCGUGGCGAAGGCGGCUCUCUGGAACGCAACUGACGCUGAGACGCGAAAGCGUGGGGAGCAAACAGG